rnacentral:rRNA from 1 species
AGCAGCCGCGGUAAUUCCAGCUCCAAUAGCGUAUAUUAAAGUUGUUGCAGUUAAAAAGCUCGUAGUUGAAUUUCGAAAUUUUUUUAUCGGUUGAAUCAACAGGUUCGUACUGAUUUUAAGAAUUUCUACCUUCUGGAGAACCUUAAUGUCAUUUAUUUGAUGUUUUGGGAAACCAGGACUGUUACCUUGAAAAAAUUAGAGUGUUUAAAGCAGGCUUAUGUCUGAAUAUAUUAGCAUGGAAUAAUGAAAUAGGACGGCAUGGUUCUAUUUUGUUGGUUUCUAGGAUCACCGUAAUGAUUAAUAGGGAUAGUUGGGGGCAUUAGUAUUCAAUUGUCAGAGGUGAAAUUCUUGGAUUUAUUGAAGACUAACUUCUGCGAAAGCAUUUGCCAAGGAUGUUUUCAUUAAUCAAGAACGAAAGUUAGGGGAUCGAAGACGAUCAGAUACCGUCGUAGUCUUAACCAUAAACUAUGCCGACUAGGAAUCGGACGAAGUUAAAAAAAUGACGCGCUCGGCACCUCAUG